UAUGUAUAAUACUGAAAAAAGCGAGAAGGCUCCAACAUAUCCGACGUAUGAUGUCUAAAGAUUAAAACACACAAAAUGAUAUACACAGGAGAAGUCAUCCCUCUCGAUCUAAUCUAUGAGGACUCACUCCAUAAUGCUACUGUCUAAACCAGCACGAGCCAAAAUGAAACAAAUCCCAAGGACUGGAUGCAACAACCACUGCCUCACUUCCUCUUCUUGGUUGGUGGCUGUGGGAGCUCCUCCUCUUUAGGUUCCUCGUCCUCUUUCAUCAUUGUUGGCCUCGGGAUCAUCCUCUUCAUCUCCUUCAUUGUCAUCCUCCUCUCCGAAGAGGUCAUCUUCGCCUCCAUCAUCGCCCUGAUCGUCUCCAUCGUCGUCAUCCGACUCAUUAUCGUCCUUGUUCUCUAGUAAAGCUUCAUGUUGGCUUCAUCCAAGUAUCCUUCUAAAGAAGCAGCACAUCAAAAGAGCCUCAAAUAUUUUUUGUUUCAAUUAUAGUAGCAAACUAGCUGGUUCAGUAUCAAAGACCUCAGUGACAAACAUAUACCACCAGGAACUGGUCAAAACAUAUAAAUUCUUUGACUUUUAACUAAGGACACAGAAGAUAAGGAUAGAAAGGUCAUACUCAUAAAUGACUUCAGGUCCUUCACGUAAGUAGGAAGUCGUAUCAGACUAAUGUUUCUGCAAGUGAAAAAAAAGGUUGUGUUGAAAUUCUUUUCUCCGAGGCUGUCAAUCAUCAGGAUCUUCUUCCACAUGGCAAACUAGGAAACGAUUAGUGUUGCUUGUAGCCAGAAACAAGAAGCUCUUUCAGAAGAAUGAAGGUGGCAAGGCAAAGUGCAGGCAUAAUACUUACUGUUCAGGUCGAGUGGCAAUCAUUGUCAUGAAAGCCAUGCGGCUUAGAUUACCAGAAACAGUGAUGAAAGCUUCACACGAUCAUAUCCCAUGCAUCAGUAAUUAUCGUUACCAACGCAAGAUCAAUCACACCAUCUACGACCGGUUCA
rnacentral:lncRNA from 1 species